GUAUUACAUAUGUUAUAGCCAGGAGGGUUUUAUUUUGCCAAACUGUCAAACAUCAUGGAAAAAAAACCCCACAGGACAAAACUUUGAGCUGAUUUACAGAGGCUAUAGGAACUAGGUUUCUAACUGUCGUGUUGUUAUUUUGUAGCUUCAGACGCCAGUAUCAGCCUCUGAGUCUCAGUAGACUGCAGUAUCUGAUAGAUUUGGGACGAGUGGACCCUACACAACCUAUUGACUUAACACAGCUUGUCAAUGGGAGAGGUGUGACCAUCCAGCCACUUAAAAGGGAUUAUGGUGUCCAGCUAGUAGAGGAGCCUGUUCUGGUCUUUAUGUGCGGACAGCCGAUUCCAGAGUGGAUGCUUCCAGCUGAAGUACUCGUGCCUUACCACGGUUACCUUGCCGAUUCUGCCAAGUUCCCUGAGGCAAGACGUGAACUCGCCAGGAAGUAUGGCUGUUACCUUACCUGAUAUCACUAAUGGUGACCUCUUGAAAAUGCCUGAUACAUGAAAGGACCCAAGGCAGAUUUUCUUUGGCCUUGCCCCUGGAUGGGAAGUAAAUCUGGCAGAUAAGUGAAUGCUGAAACCUACAGAUGAAGAAACUGCUCUUGAAUUCCCUUCCAAGAAAGCAGAGUGUGGAGAGAGCAUCAGAAAAGAGACUAAAUCAUACAGAAUUAUCACUGUACUUUACUGAUGAACAAUUCUUAAGAUGUUGAUGUCAUUUUUCAAUGCAGUAAUCACUUUUUCCUUUUCAUGUAAAAUUAAAAUUACAGGAAGGACUGCA